AUUGUUAUAUCUACAUAAAUUUCAUGGUUGUCUUAAACGCAGAUGCAGAGGUUAAAAUGUACAAGAAAUUGAGCCAAGUAGCCAACGAGAUGGUCAAAGACGUUCAAAAUGAGCUUAAAUGAUUCUUAUAUCCCCGUUGAGCUCUAUGGCUGGGCCAAAGACGAGUCUGAUUACGGAUGGUACACAACAAAGGAGGCAAGCACACUGUUACAGUUGCUAGCCUUGGCCACGCGGUUCAUGUCUAGCUCAAUGGAGAAUACAUUGGAAAGGACAUGGUAGCCAUGAUGAGAAGAGCCGAUGGUCAUUAUCAGGAGCCUGCUUCGGUUACUUUCUCUGUGUUAAACACAUUACCAUGGCUGGCUCUCCUUCUUCAUUACACUAUACUAUAAGUUUCCUCUCAAACAAGAUAAGACGGGUUACUACGAAUACGAAUACGUCGGUUUGUGGCAUGUCCAUGGUUUACUGUCCAUGAACUCUUGGUUCUGGAGUGCAGUUUUCCACACUCGGUAAUCGUCUACACAUUACCGUUUGGAAACUGUGGGUGGUUAUGAAAGCUUCAGGCUUAGCUAUGCUUUUAGAGAUAUAUGACUUCCUUCAGUAUGAAGGCUACUUUGAUGCUCACUCUAUUUGGCACCUGGCCACAGUUCCUCUCCAUUCUCUGGUGGAUUUAUUAGAGACGAUGCUAAGUUCAGAAGUUCCAGUCUUCUAAGACAAAGGCGAAGUAAGUUUACUUAACGGAUGCAGAUGUUUCUUGAGCUUUUCCCAAAGUUUUUUAUCAGAGAUUUGUCUUGGCCUUGCUUUUGGUCAACUGAGUUUUUGAUAUUAGUUUUUCAUUCAUAAGCACGUUGUUGCCAAUCUUUUUGGAGUCUUAAGACUUCUGUUAAUAUUAUGAGAAAAUCUUGUGACCUA